GCUGGCGGCAGGCCUAACACAUGCAAGUCGAACGUGAAGCCACCUUCGGGUGGUGGAAAGUGGCAGACGGGUGAGUAACGCGUGGGAACGUGCCUUUCGGUUCGGAAUAACCCAGGGAAACUUGGGCUAAUACCGGAUACGCCCUUCGGGGGAAAGAUUCAUCGCCGAAAGAUCGGCCCGCGUCGGAUUAGCUUGUUGGUGGGGUAAAAGCCUACCAAGGCGACGAUCCGUAGCUGGUCUGAGAGGAUGAUCAGCCACACUGGGACUGAGACACGGCCCAGACUCCUACGGGAGGCAGCAGUGGGGAAUAUUGGACAAUGGGCGCAAGCCUGAUCCAGCCAUGCCGCGUGGGUGAAGAAGGCCCUAGGGUUGUAAAUCCCUUUCAGCGGGGAAGAUAAUGACGGUCCCGCAGAAGAAGCCCCGGCUAACUCCGUGCCA
rnacentral:rRNA from 1 species